rnacentral:rRNA from 1 species
GACGAACGCUGGCGGCGUGGAUUAGGCAUGCAAGUCGGACGGUAGGGCUUUAUCGUAAGAUAGAGUUUGAGAGUGGCGAACGGGUGAGUAACACGUAGGAAUCUACCCUUAAGACGGGGACAACCCAGGGAAACUUGGGCUAAUACCGGAUGAGAGUGCGAGAGAUUGCAUUUAAAGGAUGGCGAAAGUUGUCGCUUAGGGAUGAGCCUGCGGUCUAUUAGUUAGUUGGCGGGGUAAAGGCCCACCAAGGCGAUGAUAGAUAGGCGGCCUUAACGGGUGGUCGCCCACACUGGGAUUGAGAUACGGCCCAGACUCCUACGGGAGGCAGCAGUCGAGAAUAGUCUACAAUGGCCGAAAGGCUGAUAGUGCGACGCCGCGUGAACGAAGAAGCCCUUCGGGGUGUAAAGUUCUUUUAUAUGUGAGCAGUGCUUUCUAUGUGAACAGCAUAGUGAGAGAGAUAUUAGCAUAUGAAUAAGCAACGGCUAACUCCGUG